UACGGGGGGAGCAAGCGUUGUUCGGAUUUACUGGGCGUAAAGGGCGCGUAGGCGGCCACCGCAAGUCGGUUGUGAAAUCUCUGGGCUUAACCCAGAAAGGUCAACCGAUACUGCGGGGCUAGAGUGCAGAAGGGGCAACUGGAAUUCUCGGUGUAGCGGUGAAAUGCGCAGAUAUCAGGAGGAACACCAAUUGCGAAGGCAGCUCGCUGGGACGUUACUGACGCUGAGACGCGAAAGCGUGGGGAGCAAACAGG
rnacentral:rRNA from 1 species